rnacentral:tRNA from 2 species
GUGCCUGAACAUCGAUAUUUAUGGCUAAAUUUUCGGUCUUCGGAACCGAGGGUCGCUGGUUCGAAUCCUGCCGGGCACGCCA